rnacentral:rRNA from 1 species
GUGCCAGCAGCCGCGGUAAGACGAGGGACCCUAGCGUUGUUCGGAAUCAUUGGGCGUAAAGCGGAGGUAGGUGGCUUGGUAAGUCGAGUGUGAAAGCCCAGGGCUCAACCCUGGAAGUGCAUUCGAAACUGCUGAGCUUGAGUGCUAGAGAGGUUACUAGAAUGCCUGGUGUAGUGGUGAAAUACGUAGAUAUCAGGCGGAAUACCGGAGGCGAAGGCGGGUAACUGGCUAGACACUGACACUCAAUUCCGAAAGCGUGGGGAUCAAACAGGAUUAGAUACCCUGGUAGUCC